GAAAUGUCUCUUAAACUUCAGGGUCCACAUUGCUUCAGUUGACAAGAGAUUACAUGACCCAUCUGUCUACUCUAUCCAAAUUUCCAGUUACUGCUAAGGGAAUAUAAAAGGAAAGCUGGGAAGAAAGACACUGCCUCAUAUGAAAUGUCUUGUUAUCAUCUGUGCUAUAAUAAGAAAUAUAUAUUUCUGUCUUUGUCUCUGGUUCCUGGUGCAGAGUUCCUAAGUGAUAGAGGUAAGAGGAAUGUCUUUUGUUUUCAUAAUAAGACCCUUUCAAUCAUGUUGAGUUUAUGCUAAUGAGGUGACUGUGUUGGAGGAUGAGGACUGGUUGCCAGGGGAACCAACCGUGUGAUUAAAGGGCUGGAACUUUCAGGUCCACUCCGUUGACCUCCAGGGAGAAGAGAGGGGCUGAAGAUUGAUAAUCACCAAUUAUCAAUGAUUUAAUCAAUCAUUCCUAUAUAAUAAGGCCUCCACAAAAACCCUGAAUAAUGGGGUUCAGAGAACUUCCAUGUUGCUGAAGUGAGAUGCUGGGAGGAUGGCAUGCCUGGAGAGGGCAUGGAAGCUCUGUGCCCCUUCCCCAUGCCGUGCCCUAUGCAUCUCUUCCAUUAGGCUGUUCCUGAGUUAAACAGAAGGGUGGUACUAUUGUUUUAUAGUCCUUGCCACUUCAAAGGACCAGUCUGUCUAGAAGACCCUCACAGCAGCCCCUAAGACAGUAUUCGAGAAUUCUUCCUCUAUAUGCCUUUUACAGAUAGUAUGAAAACAUCUCCACAUUGAAGAAAACCAGCACCAGCACAUGGCAAAGUGCUUGUGAAGGAUGGGGCAGAAGAAAGGAGCUGGUGACAUUUUCAGUGGUUUUGUUUGCGUCCAUCGAGUGAAGACAUGUGACUAGGUGUUGUUGCAGUCUGGUUUAAUAGUUAAGAAUAUGAACCCAGAGGAGGCACUGAAGGCCUUUCGGCCCUGGCUGGACUUGUCAUUGCAUGUGUUGCUCUCCACUUUCCCUUCGUAGCACUUUUCAGUUUGUAAUUGUAGCAGGAUGAUGUUCUCUUCUCCUGUACCUCUUCAUCCCUGUGAGUAUUAGCAUUCAUCCCAUCCUCACUUGUGAGUAUUAGCAAGAGAAAGCUCUGUCUUAUAGUUGAUUCACACUGAAGACUCUAAAAGGCAAACACUCUGUCUUAUAGUUGAUUCACACUGAAGACUGUAAAAGGCAAAUUCAUCUCCUGUUGUGAGGUUCCACUUUCGCCUUCCAGAUGGAGCAAGGAACUCUGGUGGGAAGUGAUGGGGUGGAGUGGAUAAGACAAGGGAACAAACACAGGAGCCAGGAAUAAGAGACACCCAGGGGCCCAUCUAAGGUAGAGUUUGUGUGAGAUGAAAGACAAGCUAAUGGGGAAAGGGAAUAAACAUUUGGCAGCAUC